rnacentral:rRNA from 1 species
GAUGAACGCUGGCGGCGUGCUUAACACAUGCAAGUCGAGCGAGAUUAUUCUUCGGAAUAGUCUAGCGGCGGACGGGUGAGUAACACGUGGGCAACCUGCCUUGUAGAGGGGGAUAGCCUUCCGAAAGGAAGAUUAAUACCGCAUAACGUUAUUGAAAGGCAUCUUUCGAUAAUCAAAGGAGCAAUCCGCUACAAGAUGGGCCCGCGGCGCAUUAGCUAGUUGGUGAGGUAACGGCUCACCAAGGCGACGAUGCGUAGCCGACCUGAGAGGGUGGUCGGCCACAUUGGGACUGAGACACGGCCCAGACUCCUACGGGAGGCAGCUGUGGGGAAUACUGCACAAUGGGGGAAACCCUGAUGCAGCAACGCCGCGUGAGUGAUGACGGCCUUCGGGUUGUAAAGCUCUGUCUUUGGGGACGAUAAUGACGGUACCCAAGGAGGAAGUCACGGCUAACUACGUGCCAGCAGCCGCGGUAA